CUUANNAUGCAGUCGAACGAUGAACCUCCUUCGGGAGGGGAUUAGUGGCGAACGGGUGAGUAACACGUGGGCAAUCUGCCCUUCACUCUGGGACAAGCCCUGGAAACGGGGUCUAAUACCGGAUAAUACUGCGGAUCGCAUGGUCUGCGGUUGAAAGCUCCGGCGGUGAAGGAUGAGCCCGCGGCCUAUCAGCUUGUUGGUGGGGUGAUGGCCUACCAAGGCGACGACGGGUAGCCGGCCUGAGAGGGCGACCGGCCACACUGGGACUGAGACACGGCCCAGACUCCUACGGGAGGCAGCAGUGGGGAAUAUUGCACAAUGGGCGAAAGCCUGAUGCAGCGACGCCGCGUGAGGGAUGACGGCCUUCGGGUUGUAAACCUCUUUCAGCAGGGAAGAAGCGAAAGUGACGGUACCUGCAGAAGAAGCGCCGGCUAACUACGUGCCAGCAGCCGCGGUAAUACGUAGGGCGCAAGCGUUGUCCGGAAUUAUUGGGCGUAAAGAGCUCGUAGGCGGCUUGUCGCGUCGGAUGUGAAAGCCCGGGGCUUAACCCCGGGUCUGCAUUCGAUACGGGCAGGCUAGAGUGUGGUAGGGGAGAUCGGAAUUCCUGGUGUAGCGGUGAAU
rnacentral:rRNA from 1 species